rfam:Methanobrevibacter sp. 87.7 contig40, whole genome shotgun sequence.
GCCUUAUUAGUUUUAAUGGAAAAAUAUUUGUCUCGUAAACAAAUGAUAGGGGUUCAAUUCCCCUAUAAGGCU